rnacentral:rRNA from 1 species
UACGUAGGGUGCGAGCGUUAAUCGGAAUUACUGGGCGUAAAGCGCACGUAGGCGGAUUGUUAAGUGAGGGGUGAAAUCCCAGGGCUCAACCCUGGAACUGCCUUUCAUACUGGCAAUCUAGAGUUCGAGAGAGGUGAGUGGAAUUCCGAGUGUAGAGGUGAAAUUCGUAGAUAUUCGGAGGAACACCAGUGGCGAAGGCGGCUCACUGGCUCGAUACUGACGCUGAGGUGCGAAAGCGUGGGGAGCAAACAGG